AAAAGAAGAACGGGACGUAAGAGAGAGAGAGAUCGAAGCGGCAGAAGAAGAAGAAGAAGAAGAAGAAGAAGAAGAAGAGAGAGAGAGAGAGAGAGCGUACCUGUUGUCGUCGUGAAGUCGAGGUUGAGCCGUUGAGGAGAAAAGCGUCUUCGUGAGGUUGAGGAGAAAAGUGUCUCUGCUGGUGGAAUGGCUGCAUCAUCAGGUUCUGGAGAGAUCGACCGAGAGCCCAGUAGACCACAGACUGGGUGAGACCUUCUGCAGCUCUGCAUAGUGUCCGUGUCACCUCAUCGACGUCAGUGCAUUGAUGCCGACUGGGCUGGAUCUAAAGUUGACAGGAGGUAAACUACUGGAUAUUGCGUUUUGUUGGAGAAAAUUUAGUGUCUUGGAAAAGCAAGAAGCAGAGUGUAGUUUCUCGAUCUAGUGUUGAAUCGGAAUACAGAGCCAUGGCACAAUGAGUAUGUGAGGUAAUGCGGAUACUUAAAUUACUAGAUGAGACAGGUUUUAAGACCUCCCUGCUUGCAAAAUUGUGGUGUGAUAAUCAAGCUGCUUUCCAUAUUGCUUCUAAUUCAGUGUUUCAUGAGCGGACCAAACAUAUUGAGAUUGAUUGUCACUUUGUUCGUGAAAAGAUUUAACAACAGAUCAUCUCAACAGGACACAUCAAAACUGGAGAGCAGUUAGGAGAUAUUUUCACAAAAACUCUGAAUGAAGCUAGGAUUAACUACAUUUGUAGUAAGUUGGACAUGAAUAACAUCUAUGCUCUAACUUGAGAGGGAGUAUUAUGGAAAGUCAAUUACUAUAUUAUUUCUCUGUAUAUUCUGUAUUCCUAUUUAGGAUUUCUUCCUUUUAGUAGAACACAAUUAAAGGAAUCAAUAGUAUAUAUAUAUAUCCAUAUACAGAUUAAUUGAAAUUAAGGAGAAUCAUCUCUUUCUACAGUAAGUUCUUUACAUGGAGUUCUUUCAAGGAAAGCCUAUUGCUGUGUAUUUUCUAAUUAAAUGUUGCUUAUUUGUUAAUUUC